UACAGAGGUCUCAAGCGUUGUUCGGAUUCAUUGGGCGUAAAGGGUGCGUAGGCGGCGCGGUAAGUCGGGUGUGAAAUUUCGGAGCUUAACUCCGAAACUGCAUUCGAUACUGCCGUGCUUGAGGACUGGAGAGGAGUACGUGGAAUUUACGGUGUAGCGGUGAAAUGCGUAGAUAUCGAUAAGGAAGACCGUGGCGAAGCGGGUCUCGUGGA
rnacentral:rRNA from 1 species